UGCAUAUCAAAAAGCGGAGGAAAAGAAACCAACAGGGAUUGCCUCAGUAGCGGCGAGUGAAGCGGCAAGAGCUCAGAUUUGAAAUCGUGCUUUGCGGCACGAGUUGUAGAUUGCAGGUUGGAGUCUGUGUGGAAGGCGGUGUCCAAGUCCCUUGGAACAGGGCGCCCAGGAGGGUGAGAGCCCCGUGGGAUGCCGGCGGAAGCAGUGAGGCCCUUCUGACGAGUCGAGUUGUUUGGGAAUGCAGCUCCAAGCGGGUGGUAAAUUCCAUCUAAGGCUAAAUACUGGCGAGAGACCGAUAGCGAACAAGUACUGUGAAGGAAAGAUGAAAAGCACUUUGAAAAGAGAGUGAAACAGCACGUGAAAUUGUUGAAAGGGAAGGGUAUUGCGCCCGACAUGGGGAUUGCGCACCGCUGCCUCUCGUGGGCGGCGCUCUGGGCUUUCCCUGGGCCAGCAUCGGUUCUUGCUGCAGGAGAAGGGGUUCUGGAACGUGGCUCUUCGGAGUGUUAUAGCCAGGGCCAGAUGCUGCGUGCGGGGACCGAGGACUGCGGUCCGUGUAGUCACGGAGUGCUUUUCAGUACCA
rnacentral:rRNA from 1 species